UUCGAUAGUCGACUUGCGAGUUCCUAACGGGCACGUGUUUUAUUUAAUGUCGUUCUCUACAUUUAUAACAUUUAUGGACGUGCUUUGCUACGUUUAUUAAAAAUGAAGCUAAAGUGUUUUUUCACACGCUUUUUAAAUUUUUUAAACGAUGGAGGAAAUGAAUGUAGUCCCGGUGGAAUUCCAUGACAAGGAAUUGCUAUAAAAUAGCAGGAAUAUUGGUAAUUUGCUGAAUAAAAAUUUUCUUGGAAAAGACCAACUCUUGUUCCAAAAUGGGCUGAGUAAAAGUCGGAACUGUUGCUUACCGUAGGGACAUAAAAAAUUUGUUUAACACAUCUCAAAUGCGCUUGUCGUGGGAAGGCAGGGAAUGCUUGGACGAUUACACUGUUGGGCCUGAAUUAAUAAUAUGCAAAAUAAAUAAAAUAAUAUGGAUGGAUCUGGAAGGGAUGAUGUAAAAAUUUUUCUCAAAAUCGGACGAGUUUCAGGUAGUUGAUUGAAGAUGGCACACGAACAUGAUUUAAUCUUGGCAUUCAAAUCGUUGGAUCGUAGAAAUGCAAAGUGGAAAUGUGUUGGUGUUGGACUUGAUGUAUAUAACACAAGACGAUAUAAUCAACACUUUCAUGGACGUGUUUCCCGCUAUAACAAACUUAAAUUAUUUAAUAUAUAAUGUUAUAAAUAUUUUCAUAUUCUUCGAUUGUAAAAAAAUGUACGCAAGAUUAUUCCAAAGAAAUAUUUAACCAAAUAAACAUAUUGGCUUGCGAAUAAAAUGUUUCAUUUCCUUGUUAUGAAUAUGCAGGCAUGUCACAGGAACGAAUUCCAAACGAAAGUGCCUCAAUUCCGUAUUUAGCUUCUGCCAUUUUGGUUUCAAACCAUUUUGGAUUUUGCAAGUGAAAUUGUAUUUUUUGUAUCUUUUUAUUUAAAAUGAUUAGCAAAUGUAAAUUGUUUCCCAAUUGUAAACUAAGUAUUGCUGCAUCAUUUUUUCUUGAAAAUCGCUUUUUUUCUUCAAAAAUUAUUUAUUUGUUAAAACUAAGCAAUCUGGCCUUACGAAUGAUAAAUUAAGCAAAGAUAGAUUGAUAUCGUCGUAUUUGAGUGGAAGAUCUCAGUUUGUUGUGCACAGGGGUGUUCAGUCUGAUGUUUGUGCUGUGCGGUGUGGUGUCCCACAAGGAUCUGUGCUUGGCCCUCUGCUUUUAUUAUGUUCAUUAACGACGUUGUGGGGUCUGUGUCUAAUUCCAGUUGUGAAGUUUUUAUGUAUGCGGAUGACAUUCAUGUCUUCUUUAGAAGUGCAGAUCUCUUUGAGUUGGAAAAUGUGGCAAACACUACUUUGGGAUUGCUUUCUAUGUGGAUCUCCUCUAAUGGUUUGUCUGUAAAUUGGAAUAAAACUGAAGCUGUUCUGUUUAAUAGUCCUCGUUAUGUUCCUACGCCAUGCAUCCGUGUUGGCUCCUUUGUGGUUAAUGUUGUGGAUGAGAUGAGAUGUUUAGGUGUAGUCAUUGACACCAAGCUAAAUUUUUCAGCGCAUGUUGAUUCUUUGCUGUCUCGUGUGCGUUUUCAGAUGCGGAGGCUAUUUAGUCUUCCAGCUCAUUUGCCUCUUAGUGUUAGGAUGAUGGCUGCCAGAUCUUUAUUAAUGUCUCAUGUCAACUAUUGUUUGGAAGUCAUCUCUGGGGCGAAUGCUUGCCUAAUUCUGCGCGUACGCAAACUUGUUAACUCUAUUGUUAGAUAUGUGUUUGGGUUGCGCCGUAGUGAUCGUGUAACACAGUAUGUUAUUAAGUUUCUUGGACUGUCCUUUGACAGAUAUGUUGAAUAUCGCCUGCUUUUGUGUCAUUACAGAAUUAUGAGGAAUGUUAAUUCUCCUUUAUAUAAUAAGUUUGUGUUUUGUAGAUCAUCUCGAAAUCCGCAAUUGCUGUUUCCAAGAUUUUCGUCUGUAGUUGGUGAGAAGCCGUUUGUUGUGAGAGUUGCGAGAUUGUGGAAUCAGCUCCCUCUGACCCUGAGUAAUAUUACCUGUUGUUUUGAUAUGUUUUGAAUAUUUGUCUGUUCAUUGGGUUUCUGGUUGUGGGUUAUUUUUUGUUAUUUCUUUUUAGUUAUUGGCUGGGGGCCAUUUUUAUGGUUGUUUAUUUUCCAUGUAGUACAUAAUUUUAUUGUUUUUUUUUUCUCUUUUUAAGAAUUUUUUUCCUAUACUUGUAGUAACUACAUUCGCUCGGUUGGAAACGAGUGAUGAUUAGCGCUUAAGUGUAUUGAUGCCUCUUGCCUUUUUCCUCUCUACCUUGCUAAACUGUUGUUCAGCUUGGUAGAGGAGUUGUGUCUGAGGGUCUAAAUUUAA